rnacentral:rRNA from 1 species
GAUGAACGCUGGCGGCGUGCCUAAUACAUGCAAGUCGAGCGAAGCGGGGACGGGUGAGUAACACGGGGAAACCCCCUAUAAGACUGGGGUAAACUUGGGAAACCCGAGCUAAAACGGGCACUUAUAGAUUGAUUCGCGCUGCAUUAGCCAGUUGGUAAGGUAACGGCUUACCAAGGCAACGAUGCAUAGCCGACCUGAGAGGGUGAUCGGCCACACUGGAACUGAGACACGGUCCAGACUCCUACGGGAGGCAGCAGUAGGGAAUCUUCCGCAAUGGGCGAAAGCCUGACGGAGCAACGCCGCGGGAGUGAUGAAGGUCUUCGGAUCGUAAAACUCUGUUAUUAGGGAAGCGGUACCUAAUCAGAAAGCCACGGCUAACUACGUGCCAGCAGCCGCGGUAAUAC